rnacentral:rRNA from 1 species
UACGGGGGGGGCAAGCGUUGUUCGGAAUUACUGGGCGUAAAGGGUUCGUAGGUGGCCCGCUAAGUCGGACGUGAAAUCCCCAGGCUCAACCUGGGAACUGCGUCCGAUACUGGAUGGCUUGAAUCCGGGAGAGGGAUGCAGAAUUCCAGGUGUAGCGGUGAAAUGCGUAGAUAUCGGGAGGAACACCGGUGGCGAAGGCGGGUCUCUGGGCAUCUCCUGACGCUGAGGCGCGAAAAGCGUGGGGGAGCAAACGGG